rnacentral:rRNA from 1 species
UACAGAGGUCCCGAGCGUUGUUCGGAUUCACUGGGCGUAAAGGGUGCGUAGGUGGUUAGGUAAGUCCGAUGUGAAAUCUCCAGGCUCAACCUGGAAAUGGCAUUGGAUACUAUCUAGCUUGAGGAGUGGAGGGGGGACUGGGAAUUCUCGGUGUAGCAGUGAAAUGCGUAGAUAUCGAGAGGAACACCAGUGGCGAAGGCGAGUCCCUGGACACUUCCUGACACUGAGGCACGAAAGCUAGGGGAGCAAACAGG